rnacentral:Y_RNA from 1 species
GGCUGGCUCGAAGGUAGUGAGUUGUCCCGAUUGACUGUUCACGUCAGUCUCAGGUCAGACUCCCUGUUCUACUCUCCCUCUUCUCACCACUGCACUGACUAGUCUAAA